rnacentral:ncRNA from 2 species
CGUUACCACAGGGGGAGCUUUAUAAGCUGAGACUGAACACUUGAUGUUCUAACCCUUUGAACCUGUUCGUUAGUACGAGCGUAGGGAUUGUGGCAAGUAGCAUUU